rnacentral:rRNA from 2 species
UAAAGAUUAUGUGGUUACAAUAGCAGAGAGGAUACACCUGUUCCCAUUCCGAACACAGAAGUUAAGCUCUCUAGCGCUGAUGGUACUUGGUGGGAAACUGCCUGGGAGAGUAGGACGUAGCCACGUAGUC